CGCACUCGUGCUGACUUUCGGGGAGUCUCGUCCAAACUUUGUCCCUGCCGCGACAGCAGCGGGGCGGGACGGGACGCCGCUGGGCUCGGACUCGACGUUCGGUUCUGGUGGGCUCCAGCCCGCCGCCCAUGCCGCCGGUGUGCCUCCGACCCCCGAGGAGGAGCGGAAGCAUGAGGCGGAGUCGUCCGGACUGGGGGAGUCCUCAUCCUCGUCCUCGUCCGAAGCUGCUAACGGGAAGCUAAGCUAAAGCUAACCAAGUGUUCGGCGGCCUUUGAAGACAAAAAAGGACAACAACAACAACAACAACAACAACAACAACAACAACAACCAAAAGCUCAAGUUGAAAAGUUGCCGUCGGCGGUCUUCCCGGCGACACCGGACAUGGACGACGUGGACUCGCUGCCCGGCGGCCCGGCGGAGCGCUUCCUGGCGGCCGGCGUGUGCCAGCAGCAGGGCUGGGUGCGCGUUCACGAGGUGAAUGGUCCGGCAGCCCACCGCCUGUCGUGUGGCCAGAGUCCAUUUUUGUGCGCCUGGGAGAAGAAGUUGUGCGUGUUGACGGACAGCCAGCUGCUGCUUCUCGGCGAGGAUGAGCAGAACACGUGCGAGGCCGCGGAGAAAUCGUCGGACGCUGCCGACGCGCGGAACCUCCGCAGGACCGUCAGCGUCCCCUCCGAGGGACAGUUCCCUGACUUUCCACCAGAGGGCGCCGCCGUGUUAGACGGGUCGUGCGAGCGAUCUGCGAGGAGGCGGAGCGUCCCGGGCCCGGCGAGCUCAGAAAAGACGGUCGCCGCGGACGCGCCCUGCAGCUCGUCGCCGUUCCGAGUGCCCGGUUUCUUCAGCAAGCGUCUGAAAGGUUCCAUCAAGAGGACAAAAAGUCAAAACAAACUGGACCGGAACAGCAGCUUGCAACUCCCCGUUUUGAGAACUGCUGACACGGACAGGUCUCACGGACUUCCUCGGCCGAACGAGUCGACGUCUCGCCGGUCCCCUCCGGAGGCCGCGGCCCUCGGCGUGGAGGACGGCGUGACGGUCAGGCCUCUGCACGGCAGCGUUCUGGGACGGGACUUCUGCUUCGAGGUGACCUACUCGGGCGGCACCAAGUGCUUCAGCUGCUCGUCGGCGUCGGAGCGAGACAAGUGGCUGGAGAACCUGAGGAGGAGCGCGCAGCCCAACAAGGACAAUUGCCGACGGGCGGAGCAUCUCCUGUGGCUGUGGAUCAUCGAGGCUAAAGACCUGCCCCCCAAGAAGACUUACUUCUGCGAGCUGUGCCUGGACGACGUGCUGUACGCGCGCACCGCCGGCGAGGCCCGCGGCGACGGCCCGUUCUGGGGCGAGCGCUUCCUGCUGGCCGACCUCCCCGCCGUGCGCAGCCUCACCGUGCACGUCUACCGGGACGCCGACAAGAAGAAGAAGAAGAAGGACAACAACAACUACGUGGGCCUGGUCAACAUCCCCGCGGCCGCCGUACCCGCUGAGCACGCCGGCCGCCGCCAAGGCCAAAGGGGGCGGCCCGUCCCUGCGCUUGAAGCUGCGUUUUCAGACCGUCGCCGUGCUGCCGGUGGAGCAGUACAAGGAGUUCGCGGAGUACGUCACCAACGCGUACGGGACGCUGUGCGCCGCGCUCGAGCCCGUCAUCGGCGUCAAGAACAAGGAGGACGUGGCCGCCGCCCUCGUGCGCAUCCUGCACGGCACCGGCACGGCAAAGGAGUUCCUGGGCGACGCGGUGAUGUCGGAGGUGGAGCGCUGCGGCGAGCACGACGUCCUCCUCUUCAGGGAGAACACGCUGGCCGCCAAGGCCACGGAGGAGUACCUCAAACUGGUCGGGCGCGAGUAUCUGCACGACGCGCUGGGCGACUUCGUCAAAGCCUUGUUCGAGUCGGACGAGGACUGCGAGGUGGAUCCCGCCCGCUGUUCCGCCGGCGACCUGGCGGAACAUCAAAGCAACUUGAAGAUGUGCUGCGAGCUGGCCUUCUGCAAGAUCAUCAACUCCUACUGCGUGUUCCCUCGCGAGUUGAAGGAAGUGUUUUCGUCGUGGCGCCGGCGCUGCGAGGCGGCCGGUCACCGGGCGGACAUCGGCGAUCGUCUGAUCGGCUCCUCGCUCUUCCUGCGCUUCCUGUGUCCCGCCAUCAUGUCGCCGUCGCUCUUCCAGCUGGCGCGGGAAUAUCCCGACGAGCGCACGUGCCGGACGCUCACGCUCAUCGCCAAAGUCAUCCAGAACCUCGCCAACUUCACCAAGUUCGGCGACAAGGAGGAGUACAUGGCCUUCAUGAACGACUUCCUGGAGCGCGAGCGGGCGGGGAUGACGCGCUUCCUGUCGGAAAUCUCCGACCCGGAAACGCCGCCCGGCGCGCCGGGAUUCGACGGAUACGUGGACCUCGGGAGGGAGCUGGCGCUGCUGCACGCGCUUCUGGCCGACGUGGUCGCGCAGCUCGACGAGGCCACGCUCGCCAAGCUGGGCCCGCUGCCGAGGAUUCUGGGAGAUAUUUCUCGCGGCCUGGCCGCGCCCGAUCCCCCCCGGCGACGGCCGGGCCGCUUCCGCGACCGACGUGGCUCCGCCCGCGACAUCGGCGCCGGCCUGUCGUCCGGCUCGCGGCGAAUCUUCCGGGAGACUGCGGACGGCACUUUGACGACGAUGUAUGUCGCUUGCAUGGAAAAGGACGACGACGCGCUGCGGCGACCCCUAAAGGGACAAACCCGAAGGAAAACGAAGACGAUACUGUCGUUUCGUCUCCCGACGCGGAUCAGACGGCGGUCGUCGCGCGAGGGCCGCGCCCCCCGCCGUCCCCUCGGCAGCCUUUCUACGACCGCGCCCGUUUGGCGCCCGAGGCCGCCGCGCCGGCGUGCGGGCGCAGCGUCUCCCUGGCGGACCUGCAGGACCCGGCCCGGGGAGGCGGGGCGGGCUCACGGUCGUCCGUCGGACCCGGGCGGGCUCCGCCCGCGGACGCCCAACCCCAGAGCGCCCCGCAGGUACGCCGCCCAUUGGCUCCGCCCAUCGAGCAUCAAAGCAGCCUGCAGCCGCUCUCCUUCCACAACCCCGCCUACCAGCUCGCCAGCCCCGCCCACCAGCUCAGUAGCCCCGCCCACUCGCCGCAGGACUCCGGCACCGGCAGCUCCCGCAGCAGCGGCCGGGCGGCGUCCGGCGGCGGUCCGGACGAGGCGGGCGUCGCCGUGCCGCGCCGGUGUGCCGCCGCGGGCGCCGCCCACAUCGUCGAGGUGGAGCAGCGCGGUCGGGCGGUGGGCGGGGCCAACUCGGAGACCGUGCCCGCCGGCAAUCAAAGCUCGCCCGAGGAGCAGUGUGUCAAACGUGUCAUGUCGCCUGUGGAGCGAACGGCGGCCUGGGUGCUCAGCAACGGACAAUAUCACCACGACCGCCGAGGGGAGCGGAAAGACGCCGAGGGACUCGGCCCAGAGGAGGGAGAAUGUUCCGACGAGGCUCCAGCAUGCCCUCGCCCGACCGACCCUAGUGAGGAGAAGCGGCUCAGGAAAUGGAUGAACUCCAUUAUUGAUUACAAGCAGGAAGUGUGUCAUCUGAAGGAUCUCCUGCGCGCAUCCUGUCGCCGCCUAGAGGAGUACGAGCGCCGCCUGCUGGCGCAAGAAGUCAACAUCGGCCACAUGCACGCCGAGUACAAAACGCGGCUGGACGCCAGCGAGGAACGCCGCCGACGAGAGCGACACGGCAAACAACAACAGAUCGACGACAUCCUCUCCAGGUUGCUGGCGGUGGAAGGCGAGCUAAAGCGUGAGCACGCCGAGAUGCAAGCGGUGAUUGAAAGCAAACAGGAAGUCAUUGACGCACAGGUCCAUUUGUUCUAGCAGGCGCCGUUGUCGUCGCUUUGUUACUUGUUCCGGAAAGGAAAGGAAAAAAACGGCUACUGGAAAUGGCCACAAAAUGCAGAGGAAACUCCACCCUGUGGCGUCCUAGCCAAUAGCAGCCGUAGCGACACCCCCGACUUGGAGAACUUCAGCACGUUUUCAAAACAGCGCAUGGCUCGCGCUCGACUAUAAUGGCAAACUGCGCCCGGGAUAUCCGCAGUGACGUCAGCGCAGUCGCUGCCCACGCAAGAGCAGCGAAUCUCGUGUCUGGACGCUACCAACGCUCGCCUGAUGGCGGCGCUGACGCAGGUGAAGGAUCGCUGCGGCUCGGC